UACGUAGGGGCCUAGCGUUGUCCGGAAUUAUUGGGCGUAAAGAGCUCGUAGGCGGUUCGGCAAGUCGGAUGUGAAAUCUCCACGCUUAACGUGGAGGGGCCAUUCGAAACUGCUGUGACUCGAGUCCGGUAGGGGAGUGUGGAAUUCCCGGUGUAGCGGUGAAAUGCGCAGAUAUCAGGAGGAACACCAGCGGCGAAGGCGGCGCUCUGGGCCGGAACUGACGCUGAGGAGCGAAAGCGUGGGUAGCAAACAGG
rnacentral:rRNA from 1 species